rnacentral:misc_RNA from 1 species
AGUCACUAUUGAGUUUGGUAUAUCUUUUCAGAAACAAGAACAAUCUCCCAAGGAAAUGCAGAUACAGAUAUAUUGAAGGAAACCCACUGGCAGAUCAUGGGAUUAGAAAAAUUGUCCUGAUGAAGAGUGUAAUCUUCUAGAAAAUAAUAAUAAAAAAAAAGUCAAAAUCUGGAAGCUGAACAAGAUCCUAAAGAGGAGAAACA